CGCCGCCCACGCGCACGCCGCCGCACGCCCCCACUCGCCGUGCGCAUGCCACCGCCGCCCGCGCGCACGCCACCUCCCCUCAUCCCGCUCGCCACGCGCCCAGCGCUCUUCCCCACCCUCACCGUCGCUCGAGCCUCGCGGCAGCCACCGCGGCCUCCUCCCCUACUCCGCCGUCGCCCGCGAGCGCUCCCGCUGCGCCGAGUGAGAGGUACGGUCUCCCCGGCUUGGAUUCUCGGAGGAUGGUGCUGUCGGGGCAGCCCAACCCGAUGGUGCUCUCCUCCGCCGCUACGGCCGCCGCCACAGCCUCCUCCGCCUCCCACCUUAUCCGGCCUCCUCCGUCUCUCCUCCCGCUCGCCGUGCGCUCGAUGCCGCUCACAGCUACCUCCCCCUCUUGCCUCGUCCGGUCUGCUCGCAUCGUCCAAGUGGGCCCUGAGCUACACCACCGUCUUGCAAGCUCACGGGACACCAAGCUACGCUGCCGACCAUGCACCGCCGGCCAGCGUCACUGCGCCAUGGCUCACAUUAGCACAUCGCCCAGCAGCACCUGGACCAGGCCAUCGCUGCAGCCGACUUAGGAGCAUCCGGGCAUCCGUGGGCAACUGGGCAUGGUAGGGUGCCAUGGUUGGACACUACGUGCUCGCUGGAUGUUCGAUAUAAUGCCUGACUAAACCUGGCGUCCUUCGUUACAUAUAUAAUGCCUGAGCUAAACUUGGCGUCCUUCAAUACACUGGUGCAGGUAAUUUCGUUACUCGUUUGGUAAUGAAAUUCGGGCAUGGCCCUUGCUGGAAAAAAACACACUGGUGCAGGGAUGCAUUGCACCGGGAGUUCAAGGAUGCCACGGUCCUGAAGCUUUUGGUUGCCAUGGAUAAGGACACAAGUCUACAGAGAGUCAGGGUCAGGGAUGGAAGGCCCAGGGAGAAAGGAGGGAGGUAGGGUCUGCUGCUCUAUGCCAUAGUGCUAUGUGGAUUUCACAAGAGCUAUUCAUUUAUUUUUCGAGUCUUGACAAUUUUCUGGUGAUAUUGCAAAAUAUGAAACAUUUGUAUAGGCAGUGAUCACUGUUUAGUUUUGUAACCGAAAUUUGUUCUCCUGUAGAUACAUAUCUGUAAAUAUACACUAGCAAUUAAUUAUCAAUUUCAUAACUUGUUUAUGAUCAAGAUAUUUAAUUUUAUCCAUA